rnacentral:rRNA from 1 species
AUUGAACGCUAGCGGCAGGCCUAACACAUGCAAGUCGAGCGACCGGCGGACGGGUGAGUAAUGUAUGGGGACUGCACGAUAGAGGGGGAUAACUACUGGAAACGGUGGCUAAUACCGCAUACUAUCGGAUAACCCAUAUGGGAUUAGCUAGUAGGUGGGGUAAAGUCUCACCUAGGCGACGAGCUCUAGCUGGUCUGAGAGGAUUAUCAUCCACACUGGGACUGAGACACGGCCCAGACUCCUACGGUGGCAGCAGUGGGGAAUAUUGCACAAUGGGCGCAAGCCUGAUGUAGCCAUGCCGCGUGUAUGAAGAAGGCCUCAGGGUUGUAAAGUACUUUCAGCGGGGAGGCGUUAACCGCAGAAGAAGCACCGGCUAACGCCGUGCCAGCAGCCGCGGUAAUAC